CAUAUCAAUAAGCGGAGGAAAAGAAACCAACAGGGAUUGCCCUAGUAACGGCGAGUGAAGCGGCAACAGCUCAAAUUUGAAAUCUGGCUCUCGGGCCCGAGUUGUAAUUUGUAGAGGAUACUUUUGAUGCGGUGCCUUCCGAGUUCCCUGGAACGGGACGCCAUAGAGGGUGAGAGCCCCGUCUGGUUGGAUGCCAAAUCUCUGUAAAGUUCCUUCAACGAGUCGAGUAGUUUGGGAAUGCUGCUCUAAAUGGGAGGUAUAUGUCUUCUAAAGCUAAAUACCGGCCAGAGACCGAUAGCGCACAAGUAGAGUGAUCGAAAGAUGAAAAGCACUUUGAAAAGAGAGUUAAAAAGUACGUGAAAUUGUUGAAAGGGAAGCGUUUAUGACCAGACUUGGGCUUGGUUAAUCAUCUGGGGUUCUCCCCAGUGCACUUUUCCAGUCCAGGCCAGCAUCAGUUUUCCCCGGGGGAUAAAGGCGGCGGGAAUGUGGCUCUCUUCGGGGAGUGUUAUAGCCCACCGUGUAAUACCCUGGGGGGGACUGAGGUUCGCGCAUCUGCAAGGAUGCUGGCGUAAUGGUCAUCAACGACCCGUCUUGAAACACGGACCAAGGAGUCGUCUUCGUAUGCGAGUGUUCGGGUGUCAAACCCCUACGCGUAAUGAAAGUGAACGCAGGUGAGAGCUUCGGCGCAUCAUCGACCGAUCCUGAUGUUCUCGGAUGGAUUUGAGUAAGAGCAUACGGGGCCGGACCCGAAAGAAGGUGAACUAUGCCUGUAUAGGGUGAAGCCAGAGGAAACUCUGGUGGAGGCUCGCAGCGGUUCUGACGUGCAAAUCGAUCGUCAAAUAUGGGCAUGGGGGCGAAAGACUAAUCGAACCUUCUAGUAGCUGGUUUCCGC
rnacentral:rRNA from 1 species